rnacentral:rRNA from 1 species
UACGGAGGGUGCGAGCGUUGUCCGGAAUCACUGGGCGUAAAGGGCGCGUAGGCGGUUUCGUAAGCGUGCGGUGAAAGCCCGGGGCUCAACCCCGGGUCGGCCGUGCGGACUGCGAGACUUGAGCACUGUAGAGGCAGAUGGAAUUCCGGGUGUAGCGGUGGAAUGCGUAGAGAUCCGGAAGAACACCGGUGGCGAAGGCGGUCUGCUGGGCAGUGGCUGACGCUAAUGCGCGACAGCGUGGGGAGCAAACAGG